rnacentral:rRNA from 1 species
AUUGAACGCUGGCGGCAUGCCUUACACAUGCAAGUCGAACGGCAGCACGGGUGCUUGCACCUGGUGGCGAGUGGCGAACGGGUGAGUAAUACAUCGGAACAUGUCCUGGAGUGGGGGAUAGCCCGGCGAAAGCCGGAUUAAUACCGCAUACGAUCUACGGAUGAAAGCGGGGGACCUUCGGGCCUCGCCCUAUGGGGUUGGCCGAUGGCUGAUUAGCUAGUUGGUGGGGUAAAGGCCUACCAAGGCGACGAUCAGUAGCUGGUCUGAGAGGACGACCAGCCACACUGGGACUGAGACACGGCCCAGACUCCUACGGGAGGCAGCAGUGGGGAAUUUUGGACAAUGGGCGAAAGCCUGAUCCAGCAAUGCCGCGUGUGUGAAGAAGGCCUUCGGGUUGUAAAGCACUUUUGUCCGGAAAGAAAUCCUUGGCCCUAAUACGGUCGGGGGAUGACGGUACCGGAAGAAUAAGCACCGGCUAACUACGUG